GUGGCGAGAGCAGAAAAUUUUUGGUCGACUGUAAUUUUGCGAGCAAGAAAAAUAUUACUUAUUGCUAACUAACUUCACCGACGUGCUUUCUGUUAGUUAUCAAUUAGUUGUCAUUUCGACGGAACUGCGGCUUGUGAAAAAUGAACGAAAAUGAAAGAGAAGAUGUUGUUUUUAAUGGAAUUUGCACUCUACCCGAGAUUAUCGAAGCAGCGGCCUCGGCAACUGCUAGUUUAUUGCCGGAAAAAUCAAAAAGUCAGUACAAACGUGCAUAUAAACUUUUCCAAGAUUGGGGUCAAGAAAUUAAAUAAAUUCUUUAUCUGAGAAUGUGCUGCUUGCAUAUUUUCAAGAUCUUUAGAAAAGGAUGAAACCGUCUUCUUUGUGGACAGUCUACUCAAUGUUGCGGAUGACGCUUAACCUAAAAAACAAUGUUGACAUGAGAAAAUAUCCCAAAUUGUGUGCGUUGCUGAAGGGUAAAUCUGAUGGUUAUAAACCUAAAAAGUCGAAAACAACAAAUUAAAGAAUUGUUAUCGUUUGCUUCUGACAAGGAAUACAAUUUACAAAGGUAAACUAUAAUACCAAAUUAAAUUAAAAUUAAGUACAAAUAUUUUUUUAUUUACGUAUUUUUUUGGUGGUGAUCGUAGAAAAAGUAUAGUAUGUAACACGUGUAUAAACUUCUCUAGACAUUCAUUUUAUUAAACACUUGCUCGGCUCCUCUGCGCUUCGCUCGUGCCUAAUAAAACUCAUGUCUAAAGUGGCGUUUAUAACACUAGUUGCAUGAUACACUAUUUUGAUCGCACGCUACUUAUAACAAUAUUAGUAUGUUUCUUGUAAUUUGUUUUAAUAGUUUUUAUUAGAAGUAAUUACUAAUUAGAAACAUUAUCUUUUGCGAAUAUCUUAUGAAUAGAUAAUCCUAUUCAACUUUACCACUGCUGUGCUCCUGAUACCACAAUUUUGUUUUUGAACGGUUUGCGACAUUCCAGUUUAGCUCUCGGAAACAUUUUGUUUGUAAAUGUGUGAAUAUUAAAUUAAUUAGUUUUACUAGAAAUUUUUUUUUUAAAAGGUGCCCUUUUAAAUGUACUGAAAAAAACUUUUAUAAGUAAUUAAAUAUUUUCUAUUCAUUAACAAAGUGUUUAGUACUCGACUGUUCAGGGGUAUUAAAAAAGUACUUUUUUUUUUUAAUGACAAAGCCAUAAAUUUACAAUCCUGUUACUUCGGUGAUAAAAUCACGAAGCACAGCUACGUUUGAAUAAACUCCUGGAAAAUUAGGGCGAGCACAUCCUGCCCCCCACGAAACAAUUCCCCCAAGAACAUCACCCACGACCAGUGGACCACCAGAAUCUCCUUGGCAGGAGUCUUUACCUCCACCAUUCACUCCAGCACACAACAUGCGUGUAGUUAUAAUAUCUUCACCAGCCGAGGAAAGAAUACUUGAACCUUCUUCGGUAGUUCCCCAGCCACUUACAAGAACUUCUGUAUCAUCAGGCCAGACCUGUCCAUUUUCUGGCAAUUUAACAGGAGCUACCUUAUUUGACAGUUCCAAAGGAGUGGCCAGUUCCAAAAUGGUGAUAUCGUAAUCGAUAUUACUGUAAUCAAACUUAGGGUUUUGGUGGAUUUUCGCAAUUUUUACUUCUUGGCCUCCUGAUCCUCGAAUGGAAGUUCCUGCACGAAUGGAAAUGUUAUCUUCUAACCACCGCAGAUGUGAGAACCAUAAUACUGGAAAGAAACUUGCCAAGGUACCUGUUCAAUAGGAAUAUCGGAACCUCCGACGAUUCUUCCGUCGGGAAAGAAUUUGUUCUUGCGAAGGAACGGUGGAACCGCUUUUAAUUAAUUUGUUAUUUAAUGUUUUAAAACAGAAGAAAAAUGGAUUACCUGAGACGGUUGCCAAUACUAGU